rnacentral:rRNA from 1 species
CUACGUGCCAGCAGCCGCGGUAAUACGGAGGGUGCGAGCGUUAAUCGGAAUAACUGGGCGUAAAGGGCACGCAGGCGGCUAUUUAAGUGAGGUGUGAAAUCCCCGGGCUUAACCUGGGAAUUGCAUUUCAGACUGGGUAGCUAGAGUACUUUAGGGAGGGGUAGAAUUCCACGUGUAGCGGUGAAAUGCGUAGAGAUGUGGAGGAAUACCGAAGGCGAAGGCAGCCCCUUGGGAAUGUACUGACGCUCAUGUGCGAAAGCGUGGGGAGCAAACAGGAUUAGAUACCCUGGUAGUCCACGCUGUAAACGCUGUCGAUUUGGGGAUUGGGCUUUAAGCUUGGUGCCCGUAGCUAACGUGAUAAAUCGACCGCCUGGGGAGUACGGCCGCAAGGUUAAAACUCAAAUGAAUUGACGGGGGCCCGCACAAGCGGUGGAGCAUGUGGUUUAAUUCGAUGCAACGCGAAGAACCUUACCUACUCUUGACAUCCAKGAAUCCUGUAGAGAUACGGGAGUGC